rnacentral:rRNA from 1 species
CGAACGGGUGAGUAAUACAUCGGAACGUGUCCUGGAGUGGGGGAUAGCCCGGCGAAAGCCGGAUUAAUACCGCAUACGCUCGGGAGAGGAAAGCGGGGGAUCUUUCGGGACCUCGCGCUCAAGGGGCGGCCGAUGGCAGAUUAGGUAGUUGGUGGGGUAAAGGCCUACCAAGCCGACGAUCUGUAGCUGGUCUGAGAGGACGACCAGCCACACUGGGACUGAGACACGGCCCACACUCCUACGGGAGGCAGCAGUGGGGAAUUUUGGACAAUGGGCGCAAGCCUGAUCCAGCAAUGCCGCGUGUGUGAAGAAGGCCUUCGGGUUGUAAAGCACUUUUGUCCGGAAAGAAAACCUCGUGGCUAAUAUCCGUGAGGGAUGACGGUACCGGAAGAAUAAGCACCGGCUAACUACGUGCCAGCAGCCGCGGUAAUACGUAGGGUGCGAGCGUUAAUCGGAAUUACUGGGCGUAAAGCGUGCGCAGGCGGUUACUGGGCGUAAAGCGUGCGCAGGCGGGCUUAACCUGGGAACUGCAUUGGUGCCUGCUUAACCUGGGAACUGCAGAGGGGGGUGCAGCGCUGGAGUAUGCAGUGAAAUGCGUGAAUUCCACGUGUAGCAGUGAAAUGCGUAGAGAUGUGCUGGGCCAAUACUGGAGAAGGCGGCCCCCUGGGCCAAUACUGACGCUCAUGCACGAAAGCGUGGGGAGCAAACAGGAUUAGAUUCCAUUGUAGUCCACGCCCUAAACGAUGUCAACUGGUUGUCGGGCCUUCAUUGGCUUGGUAACGUAGCUAACGCGUGAAGUUGACCGCCUGGGGAGUACGGUCGCAAGAUUAAAACUCAAAGGAAUUGACGGGGACCCGCACAAGCGGUGGAUGAUGUGGAUUAAUUCGAUGCAACGCGAAAAACCUUACCUACCCUUGACAUGUAUGGAAUCCUGCCGAGAGGCGGGAGUGCCCGAAAGGGAGCCAUAACACAGGUGCUGCAUGGCUGUCGUCAGCUCGUGUCGUGAGAUGUUGGGUUAAGUCCCGCAACGAGCGCAACCCUUGUCCCUAGUUGCUACGCAAGAGCACUCCAGGGAGACUGCCGGUGACAAACCGGAGGAAGGUGGGGAUGACGUCAAGUCCUCAUGGCCCUUAUGGGUAGGGCUUCACACGUCAUACAAUGGUCGGAACAGAGGGUUGCCAAGCCGCGAGGUGGAGCCAAUCCCAGAAAACCGAUCGUAGUCCGGAUCGCACUCUGCAACUCGGGUGCGUGAAGCUGGAAUCGCUAGUAAUCGCGGAUCAGCAUGCCGCGGUGAAUACGUUCCCGGGUCUUGUACACACCGCCCGUCACACCAUGGGAGUGGGUUUUACCAGA